AACGAACGCUGGCGGCAUGCCUAACACAUGCAAGUCGAACGAGACCUUCGGGUCUAGUGGCGCACGGGUGCGUAACGCGUGGGAACCUGCCCUUAGGUUCGGAAUAACUCCCCGAAAGGGGUGCUAAUACCGGAUAAUGUCUUCGGACCAAAGAUUUAUCGCCUUUGGAUGGGCCCGCGUUGGAUUAGCUAGUUGGUAGGGUAAAAGCCUACCAAGGCGACGAUCCAUAGCUGGUCUGAGAGGAUGAUCAGCCACACUGGGACUGAGACACGGCCCAGACUCCUACGGGAGGCAGCAGUGGGGAAUAUUGGACAAUGGGCGAAAGCCUGAUCCAGCAGUGCCGCGUGAGGGAUGAAGGCCUUAGGGUUGUAAAGCUCUUUUACCCGGGAUGAUAAUGACAGAACCGGGAGAAUAAGCUCCGGCUAACUCCG
rnacentral:rRNA from 1 species